rnacentral:rRNA from 1 species
UACGUAGGGCGCAAGCGUUUGUCCGGAAUUAUUGGGCGUAAAGAGCUCGUAGGCGGCUUGUCACGUCGGAUGUGAAAGCCCGGGGCUUAACCCCCGGGUCUGCAUUCGAUACGGGCUAGCUAGAGUGUGGUAGGGGAGAUCGGAAUUCCUGGUGUAGCGGUGAAAUGCGCAGAUAUCAGGAGGAACACCAAUAGCGAAGGCAGCUCGCUGGGACGGUACUGACGCUAAGGCGCGAAAGCGUGGGGAGCGAACAGG